GACGAACGCUGGCGGCGUGCUUAACACAUGCAAGUCGAACGCUGAAGCUCAGCUUUUGCUGGGUGGAUGAGUGGCGAACGGGUGAGUAACACGUGAGUAACCCGCCCCCUUCUUUGGGAUAACGCCCGGAAACGGGUGCUAAUACUGGAUAUUCACUGGUCUUCGCAUGGGGGUUGGUGGAAAGGGUUUUUCUGGUGGGGGAUGGGCUCGCGGCCUAUCAGCUUGUUGGUGGGGUGAUGGCCUACCAAGGCUUUGACGGGUAGCCGGCCUGAGAGGGUGACCGGUAACAUUGGGACUGAGAUACGGCCCAGACUCCUACGGGAGGCAGCAGUGGGGAAUAUUGCACAAUGGGCGCAAGCCUGAUGCAGCGACGCCGCGUGAGGGAUGGAGGCCUUCGGGUUGUGAACCUCUUUCGCUCAUGGUCAAGCCGCAACAAUGGUUGUGGUGAGGGUAGUGGGUAAAGAAGCGCCGGCUAACUACGUG
rnacentral:rRNA from 1 species